rnacentral:rRNA from 1 species
AGGACGAACGCUGGCGGCGUGUCUAACACAUGCAAGUCGAACGAGGAUCAAUUUGGAAAGCUUCGGCCGGAAGGAUUGAUUCGAGUGGCGGACGGGUGAGUAACGCGUGAACAAUCUGUCCCAGACAGGGGGAUAACACUUGGAAACAGGUGCUAAUACCGCAUAAGACCACAGCAUCGCAUGGUGCAGGGGUAAAAGGAGCAAUCCGGUUUGGGGUGAGUUCGCGUCCGAUUAGCCAGUUGGGGGGUAACGGCCCACCAAAGCGACGAUCGGUAGCCGACCUGAGAGGGUGAUCGGCCACAUUGGAACUGAGAGACGGUCCAAACUCCUACGGGAGGCAGCAGUGGGGAAUAUUGGGCAAUGGGCGAAAGCCUGAACCCCCAGCAACGCCGCGUGAGUGAAGAAGGCCUUCGGGUUGUAAAGCUCUGUUACAGGUGACGAAGGAAGUGACGGUAGCUUGUAAGGAAGCCCCGGCUAACUACGUGCCAGCAGCUGC